ensembl:lncRNA
GGUGCUGUAUAUUGCUGUGGGCUGCUGUGUAUUGCCGUGUGUCCUGUCAGAUAAACCCCCGCCUUCACGCACUUCGUCGCGGGAGGACAAGGAGACUGCUGGUCCUAGCCUAGUUCAGUAUAGUAUAUGUUGUGAGCGUGCUUCAGAUCUCCGGAGAUAGCACAGUACGCUGUGUCCAGCCCAGAGGUGAAAGCCAUCCAAAGCAGAGUAACUGUGCUUUGCGUCCAAGUUGAUACCUGUGGAGAGGAAAGGAAAGAGAGAGUGAGUAACACAAGGAGAAACAGAGCGAACCCUGUACUUACAGUACGCUGUGUCCAGCCCAGAGGUGAGAGCCAUUCAAAGCAAACUAACUGUGCUAUUGUGCCCAAGUUGAUACCUGUGGAGAGAAAAGGAGAGAGAGUGGGUAACACGAGGAGAGAUCGAGGAAACCUGUACUUACGCCGCUGCCUGUGGAGAGAAAAGGAAAGAGAGAGUGAGUAACACAAGGAGAAACAGAGGAAACCUGUACUUACAGUACGCUGUGUUCAGCCCAGAGGUGAGAGCCAUUCAAAGCAAACUAACUGUGCUAUUGUGCCCAAGUUGAUACCUGUGGAGAGAAAAAGGAGAGAGAGUGGGUAACACGAGGAGAGAUCGAGGAAACCUGUACUUACGCCGCUGCCUGUGGAGAGAAAAGGAAAGAGAGAGUGAGUAACACAAGGAGAAACAGAGGAAACCUGUACUUACAGUACGCUGUGUUCAGCCCAGAGGUGAGAGCCAUUCAAAGCAAACUAACUGUGCUAGUGUGCCCAAGUUGAUGCCUGUGGAGAGAAAAAGGAGAGAGAGUGGGUAACACGAGGAGAGACCGAGGAAACCUGUACUUACGCCGCUGCCUGUGGAGAAAGAGAAAGCGAGUGAGCACCCAAGGAACGAACUGUGUGAACCAGUACUUACUGUGAGCUGUAAUCAGCGAAGAG